rnacentral:rRNA from 1 species
AGAGUUCGAUUAUGGCUCAGGACGAACGCUGGCGGCGUGCUUAACACAUGCAAGUCGAACGAAGAGCGAUGGAAGCUUGCUUCUAUCAAUCUUAGUGGCGAACGGGUGAGUAACGCGUAAUCAACCUGCCCUUCAGAGGGGGACAACAGUUGGAAACGACUGCUAAUACCGCAUACGAUCUAAUCUCGGCAUCGAGGAUAGAUGAAAGGUGGCCUCUACAUGUAAGCUAUCACUGAAGGAGGGGAUUGCGUCUGAUUAGCUAGUUGGAGGGGUAACGGCCCACCAAGGCGAUGAUCAGUAGCCGGUCUGAGAGGAUGAACGGCCACAUUGGGACUGAGACACGGCCCAG